AAAUAACUAAUUCCACCUCACAUUUUCCAAAUCUCAUGCCCUUGAGGCCUCUCAUCUCCAUUCUUCAAAAUUCCUCUUUUUCUUUUCAAACUUAAAAUCAACCAACAAAAACAAAAACAAUUUUCGAGAAUGAACUACGUUUGGUUUUGAUCCCUUAAAAGGGUACGUAGGCAAUGAGUUAAAACUCCUCCAAGCCAAGUAAAAUAAAAUCUCAAUCAUCUUCUCUCCCCCAUUCUUCACUCAAAUAAAACUUCUUUUUUCAAUAAGUAGGCAAUAAAAAUAAAGCGUAAGAAUAAACUUAGGAGAACGGUUCUUAUGGAAUACCAUAAUCGUUCCGGGUGCCUAACACCUUCCCGUAGCGAAAGCGACCCCCG
rnacentral:lncRNA from 1 species